AAAUAUUCGAAAAUACAUCAAAUUGGAAUGAGCGAACAAAACACCAUCCUCUGGAACCCGGGGUUAACAUUCUAUCACUCGUUUCUCGCUUCUUAGAAACGAGCGACAAAAUUUUACCCCUGGAUCUGAAAAAGGCGUUCCUGUAGUAGACUUUUGAAAGCGAAGAGUAUUUCCUCAAGAUACCAUGCUUGCUGCGUAGCCCUGAAGAAGGCCAAUGGUACAAAUCAUCAGUCCAAGUAAAACUCAACUUUUCAGUUCAUUAAACCAAGACCAUAAUUCCAGACAUCAAGUGCUGAACCGUCGUAUGGCAGCGCGAAGCAUUUACAGCUAUGGCGGAGAUUCGCUAUCCGAAGAUUUACAGACUGAUCAGGAAGCUCGACCGAAGCCUAAGGGAGAGGUUAGUCGGCCCCUAAACCAAAGAUGAUUAACCCACCAGAGCAAACUCGAAAUUUCAAUUGUGACGCUGAUUCCUUU